rnacentral:lncRNA from 1 species
UAAUAAAUGCAGAACCUAUGGUGAGUAGGCAAAAGGAUGAAAGACUUGUCUGAUGUCUUUUCCUGUUUAUUUAUUAAAUUAUUCAUUUCUUACAUAAUUUAUGACAAUUAUAUUGUCUUGCACACUAGUUUUGGUGACAUUAGUCUGAGACUUCAAAAAUCAAUGAUGAUCUUCUACUUAUUACAUGUAUAUGUUACCACAAAUCAAAGUAAUGUACAGAAACACUAUGACCAAAG